rnacentral:lncRNA from 1 species
UGUCAGUCAUUCACAUUUAUUAAAAAUAGUCACUUUAUUAAAUAAUGUGAGAAACUCUAUAUUUUUUGCGAAUAGACCUGAAGAUGAAUUAUGAAAGGGUGUGACAAGUAUCAGUAAUGCAGGAAGACGCAGAGAUACAGCAAGAAGAAUAGUGAAAAGAGAAAGCUCCUAAAUAAGGAGCAAAUUAUUGUCAUGGGAAAAAUUCCGAUACAAUUCCGACAAUUUCCUGGUCUAAACACUCCUGUGUUUAGAGGAAAAGAAUUAAUUCAACAGCUGAAACUGCUUGUAAAUCUUGAAAGAAAGCAAAAACUUAUGGAAUUACCACAAAGUCAGACCAGACCAAUGCAAAUAAAAUUAUCGCCAUUGGAAUGUGGUUGGAGGAGUGUUACAAUGGAUGGCAGAAGCAUUGAAUCGGAUCUUAUUGGAAAAGAUACAUUUGAAAGUUUUGAAACCUGGAUUUUGGAAAACAAAAUGAUAACUUGUAUGACCCGUAAUUUAGCACGUAAGACUAGAAUCAAUUCAUUUAUAGUAACUGGGAAUGGAAAUGAAUUGGCUGGAUUUGCAUUAUUAAAAGCCAAAGCAUCCCUAAACGAUUAAAAAUAGGGCUGGUCAAAGAUUAAUGUAUAUUCCUACAUAUAAGGAAUACACUGUGUUACAUGAUUUCUUUACACAGUUUGAGAAUAUAAAAAUAUUUGUAAAGAAAAUUCAUGAAGGAUAAUGGGCUUGUUUGUCAUCAUGCGAUAAAAGCGUGUUGCGAGAUAAUUGGCAUAAAGGAUAUGUAUGCCAAAGUACAAGGAGGAAUGUAAAAGCAUUCUUUAUUGGUUUAUUGCAACAAUAAUUCUAUUGGAAAAAACGCAUCAGACAAAACUUUCCUGUACAUUUUAAAUGUGCCAAAAGAUUUGCUCUUUAUUCCACUUACUGCAAUAAUGUACACUAAAAAUGACAGCUCUAUAUUAAAAAUGAUAAAUCUAUGUUUAGUAGUUGGAAAGAAAGAGAGGAGAAAUGAAA